rnacentral:rRNA from 1 species
GAUGAACGCUGGCGGCGUGCCUAAUACAUGCAAGUCGAGCGAACAGACGAGGAGCUUGCUCCUCUGACGUUAGCGGCGGACGGGUGAGUAACACGUGGAUAACCUACCUAUAAGACUGGGAUAACUUCGGGAAACCGGAGCUAAUACCGGAUAAUAUAUUGAACCGCAUGGUUCAAUAGUGAAAGACGGUUUUGCUGUCACUUAUAGAUGGAUCCGCGCCGCAUUAGCUAGUUGGUAAGGUAACGGCUUACCAAGGCAACGAUGCGUAGCCGACCUGAGAGGGGGUCCGGCCCAACUGGAAAUGAGCACCGGCCCAACACCCUCCGGAGGGCAGCGGGGGGGAUUUUUCCGCAAGGGGGGAAAGCCUGACGGAGCAACGCCGGGGGGGGGAGGAAGGUCUUCGGAUCGUAAAACUUUGUUAUUGGGGAAAAACAAAUGUGUAAGUAACUAUGCACGUCUUGACGGUACCUAAGCAGAAAGCCACGGCUAACUACGU